AAACCAUGGUGUGGGCAAGCUCUUAAUAGUUCUUUAUAUCUCUCCCAAGCGUCAAAAAGUGAUUCGCCAUCUUGUUGAGUGAAUCUAGUUAUUUGGUUUUGUAAGACA